UUAAUUGAAGAGUUUGAUCAUGGCUCAGAUUGAACGCUGGCGGCAGGCCUAACACAUGCAAGUCGAACGGUAACAGGAAGCAGCUUGCUGCUUUGCUGACGAGUGGCGGACGGGUGAGUAAUGUCUGGGAAACUGCCUGAUGGAGGGGGAUAACUACUGGAAACGGUGGCUAAUACC
rnacentral:rRNA from 1 species